UUUGCCGCAAACCUUCCGCCAUAAGCUCUCACAACUUCUUUGAUCCUGAGUAGGGGGGAAAUAUGAGGAUUUGCUUGACUUACGAUAAAAUGAUUAACAUUAAAGAGCUCUUUCAGUUGCAUCAUCGGUAGAUCUAUCUCCAAGCUACCGUCCCUCCAACGACGUGUAGAACUCCCAUUGGCUUCUUCCGGGCCCCAGUGGAACGGUGGGUGAUAUGGAACAAGUUCUCCACUUCUAUCCUUUGCCAUAAGCUCCUGAGCUUCAAAAAGGCCUGGGAAAGCACAAGAAGCGGUAACCGCACUCCAUAUAACAACAUGCGGUGACGUUAAGUAGUUAAGACAUCUUGGAGGUUCGUGUUUUCUUGGUGAGCAUACGGUUAUGCCAAGAACACGACCCGUCAUGUCGUAAGCUUCUUGAAAUGUAAGAUUAUUUGUCAGGUUUCUUAAUAGCACCUGCAAACAUCUAAUGUCGUGUAGCGCUCCGAGAGUCGUAACCCUCUUGAAAAUACUGAAAAUUCCACCCAAUUGACCGAAAAACUGAAAAGAAUCAAACGAUUCCUCAAAAAAACUUUGAACCUCAGGCCAUGACUUGGUGGCGAUAACAGCACAGAUAAUGGAUCCAACGCUAGACCCCGCGAUUAUUCGGGGCAAAAGCUUAUGUUCUACUAAUGUUUUCACUACACCUACGUGAAAAGCCCCGAGAGAAGCACCACCGCUUAGAAGCAAAGCUGUUCUUCCAAAAGCAUGUCUUGUCUCGUGCAUAAACGCAAGCCGUUCUUCCAAAAGAAGUUCUUCACAGUCGGAAUCACAAACCAUCCUUAACUGCGUUGAAACCUCAUCGAUAUACUCUUUUAUAAGCUUCGGUACUUGAUGUCUACCCUUAUGAAGCUCAGGGUUGCACAUAUUACCAAGAUUUCUAACCAAAUCGGCCCGCAUAUAAAAUAUAACAUCUCGUAAACAACCUUCUUGACGACGGUGCCUAAGCUCUUGAAGUUUGUUCCUCACAAGCUCUUCAUCGUAAAGAUUAAACUCGUUCAUUCUCGGUGUUUCCUUAUCCAACAUCUUAGCCGCAUGAGCCCAUUCCUCAUACGUCACCGCAGCCCGCAUCAUAUUCCUCCAAAACUUCCUCUUGUAAGCCAUCUCAGCUCUUGUUUUCACAUUCGUGCACCGUUUAAGCAAAAACGCCAUUACCGUCACCAACACUAGUAUCCCUUGCGGGUUGCGCGGAUGCAACCACGAUAUCACCGGCACAACCGUACCCGACACAUAACCCCUAAUGGUUCUAAAGUAAUAAACCAACAGAUUACUUAUAUGCAGCCUCAAGUGUGACAUUGACUUCAAGAACAGAACUUUAAAAGCUAUAGUCCUGCCAAAAACCGAUGACGGUCCGAUCGAAAACGCUUCAACAGUCGCCUCGCUACUUAAAUCCAUUAUCUAAGCCCAAGAUUCUAACUUUCUAACCCUAAUAUGUAUUCUAUUAACACCCAAUUCACCAGAACUUCUAGUCUUUACAAAAAUCAAAUCUUUUUACAACUACACAUCAAUAAUCAAUGAUCAAGAUAACUGACCUAAACGGCUAAACCCACAUCAAUUUCCUAUAAUUUCAGGUGAAUGAUAACAGAAAUCAAACAAUUAUGAUCAAAGAUUAGAGUGACGUAACGGCAACGAUGAAGUAUGAUCAAGAAUAGAGUACCGUAACUGCAACGAAGAGGUGCAACGUGUCUUCCGUUAAUUCAAUAUCGUAUGCGUGUUAGGCAAGUCUGUAUUGACAAGAUGAGUGAUUGAUAGAUGGGUAGAGAGAGAGAGAGAGAGAGAGAGAGAGAGAGAGAAUGAAGUUUGAAGUUGUGGUUGUGUGGAUGAUCGGGUUGUAGUUAGACUUCACAGUGAAGGAUGGAAGGAUUUGGGGAAGAAAGAACCGAAGAACAAGUUGUUUGAUCGGUUGCCUUAUCCGUUUCGAGAUAGAGAUACUAUUGAGCAUGACCCACUCUGCCCACCCUAUAUGAUACAACCUUGAAUCAAACAAAAUCACUUUUAGAGUUGAUUAUGUAUUUAUGUAUAUACCCCUUGUCAUUUGAUAGACUAACACAAACUUCUAUUUUAUUCUUCCUCCUCCUUAAUCAAUUGUUGACAAAUGAGAAUAUCGAUUAUUUUAUCGAAAACUUUUCUUUCUAAAUCCGUCACUGAUUUUACUACCCAUUCACAAUUUGGAGACAGACACAUAGUGGACAAGUAA
rnacentral:lncRNA from 1 species